AUUGAACGCUGGCGGCAUGCCUUACACAUGCAGGUCGAGCGGUAACAGGUCUUCGGAUGCUGACGAGUGGCGAACGGGUGAGUAAUGCAUCGGAACGUGCCCAGUUGUGGGGGAUAACUGCUCGAAAGAGCAGCUAAUACCGCAUACGACCUGAGGGUGAAAGCGGGGGAUCGCAAGACCUCGCGCAAUUGGAGCGGCCGAUGUCAGAUUAGGUAGUUGGUGGGGUAAAGGCCUACCAAGCCGACGAUCUGUAGUUGGUCUGAGAGGACGACCAGCCACCCUGGGACUGAGACACGGCCCAGACUCCUACGGGAGGCAGCAGUGGGGAAUUUUGGACAAUGGGCGCAAGCCUGAUCCAGCAAUGCCGCGUGCAGGAAGAAGGCCUUCGGGUUGUAAACUGCUUUUGUCAGGGAAGAAAUCCUCUGGGUUAAUACCCCGGGGGGAUGACGGUACCUGAAGAAUAAGCACCGGCUAACUACGUGCCAGCAGCCGCCGUAAAAC
rnacentral:rRNA from 1 species